rnacentral:rRNA from 1 species
GCUUAGUACGGUCUAGGGGCUGGGGUAUUACGUGGGGGCUGUGCGUUUGCCGGGAGUAUUGGUCGUAAGGAGCGUGGUGGCGGCCCCUUAAGUCCUGCUGGAAAUCCUGCGGCUCAACCGCAGACGGUCGUGGGAAACUGGAGGGCUAGGGUGCGGGAGAGGAGAGUGGAAUUCCCGGUGUAGCGGUGAAAUGCGCAGAUAUCGGGAAGAACACCCGUGGCGAAGGCGGCUCUCUGGAACGCAACUGACGCUGAGACGCGAAAGCGUGGGGAGCAAACAGGAUUAGAUACCCUGGUAGUC